AAUACUCUUGUUCUGCUGUUGAUGUGAGAACUGAUGUGGUUUUAAUAGAAAAUAAUACCUAAAAUUUCAGCUGGCCUAGUUUGGAUUACAUCAUCUCCUCGCCUCUCUUUUGGUGCUGAGAAUGAAGCUUUUUAGCUGUAUCGCCCACACUUAUCCUGAGUUGAGUCCAUUGUUCCCAGUAGGCUGUUCUUAGUGGAAAUUAAACUGUGACUACAGAGAAAAAUAGAAAGGCUUUUUCUGUCACUGUCUGGCAGUUCAGUCUGUUCAUCUUUUUUUUUUUUAAAGUGUGUAAAUAACCCAAACACAUGACUCUUGUUUUUUAUGACGAUGUCGGUUUAGUGGGGGAAAAAAUAACUGUCUCUAUGGAAACCAGGCUAAUGACUCAGUGUUGACUGAGUCUUCAAGCAUGUGUUACUGAGUGGUGUGUGCGUGCAUGAGUAUGUGGUCACGUGUGUGUGUGUGUGUGUGUGUGUGUGUGUUUCUGCUUUGGUAAGGGAGUAACCCCAGACAGACUCAUUGGAAAAGAAAACCUGUGGCUAAAGCUAUUUUUGGUUUUAAAAUAUCUUAAAACAAAUUAAUGUUGUCUGUAUUUUUUUAUAUCAAAGUCACUCAUUCUCUUGGGUUUAUUUAUAUUGUUUCUAUUGGCAAACCACACUUUUAUUUUAAUGUGUGAAGAAGAAGAAGCUCUUCUGGAAAAUGCUUUUCAAAUUUUUUUAUGUUGAUUUUUAAGCACCCCGCACCAAGCGGCAACCUCCAGGGCUGAAAAAUGAAGCCAAUGCGGAGUGCCAAAAACUGCAGUUCCUCAAAUGGCCACUUGAGGCUAGCUCCAAAAACGAGUCAAUCCCAUAGAGCCCCAUGUUAAAAUGCCCAACUUUACAGCAGAAAUAAACAUGUUUACAGAAUGGUACAACAAACGCUUUGAUCUCUGUAGCUAAUUUUCCCCUUCAUGACAACUGUGAGGGGGGUGAAUUUUUUUUUAGAACUCACCCGUUUAAAUUAUAUUAAGGUUUAAAGUUAUACAUAAUUAAGGGCCGCUUUGAGUGGCAGGUGGGUGCCUCUCAGGCGGCUAACCGCUAGGUGGUUUCAUCAACCCGGCUUCAUUUGGCCCGCCUCAGCUCCACCUCUUUGCCCAUUUUUGGAUUAGCUGGAGUCAGGGACUGCAAAGAUGAUGACGGCCGGAGCCACCGGAGGCACACACUUUGAGCUUCACAACGGCUCUUCAAAAACCUACGGAUGAUGUCAUGGACACUACGUCCAUGUUUUAUACAGUCUAUGCUCCGCGCCAGCGAUAGCCGUGGUCCGCCCAUCUGGCUUGUUCUCAUGACCGCGAUAUCGCUGGAACGCCUUGAGGGAAUUUCCUCAAAUUUGGCUCAAACGUCCACUUGGCCUCAAGGAUAAACUGAUUAGAAUUUGGUUGUCAAAGGUCAUGGUCACUGUGACCUCAAAAUGAUCUCGACAACACGUAUUUGUCCAUAACUCAAGAACUGAUGCAGUCAAAGGUCAUCUUCACUGUGACAUCAUAAUGUUAUAGAAAAACACUUUUUUGGCCAUUUUUCAACACCAUAACUCAAUUACCAUAACUCGAUUGUAACCAUAUUUCACAGUUGGUUGGACACUGAAUAGGUGACACUUUUGACUCAAAGGUCAUUGUGACCUCAAAAUAGGUUUUUAGCCAUAAUUUAAGAAUGAAUUGGGCAAUUUCAGAUUUCACACACAUGUUGGCUGGGACGACACAAUGAGUAAACAGUAACUAGCACAGCACAGGCUUUCUUCCAUCUCGUCCAUUCUGCCUUUCGAUUCCUGCGAAUCGAAUUACGUGACUCAGAAUUACGUGACUGCUAACAACGUAUUGGAGCGCGCCUAGCUAAUUGAUUUAUAAAUGGAUUGCUAUAUUAAUUUGUAAAUGGUAUUGGUGGAGACCAAAGCAGAGCUAAAACGAGAGUGAAUACUGGACUUACAUUCAUCAGUCAGAAACUCGACUCCAAAUGAAUGCUAAUGUUGCUCUGUGUCAGCUGAAUGUGUAAAUAGGCAACUGCUUGCUAACACGUUAGCCAUAACAACUUUAUGAGGUGAUAAUAUGUCAAUGUUUGUGUUUACAGCUUGUUCUGCUGCCCCCAUAAAUAGAUUGCCAACAAAUCUAUUUAUACUGCUUUAGCUAUAAGUACUUCAACAAAAUAUAAUUUAACUAUAGGGCUGGGUAUCGUUUGACAAUUUUCAAUAUAAUACUUUCUUCGAUGCCUUACUUUGGGGAAAGUAAAAACCUACUUCCUGCUCUCUUACAGUGCAGACGCUUUCCUGCUUGCUCUCUGCUUUGCUUAUAUUAUUUUGCUGAUAUCUGUCAAAAGCUAGGGAAAGUUGAUCCUGAAUACUUAAAAAUCAUUGGGAUGUUAAUUUAUAAGAGACACAGAAGGAUACCACCAUUCUUUUUAUUUAUUUUUUAACACUUUAUUACUUCUUUAGUACGGUGCAAGCGUGACCUACAAACAGCACAAGCCUUUUUCUGUGUCUGUGACUGGAAACCUGGGAUUAGUACAAAGACAAGAUGGCAAAAUCUGUGAGCUGCACCGAGUAGCAUCCCGUCACAGACUUGGCUGAUCAUCCCUUGGAUGUGUCCAAACAUCACUGGAUUAGCUGCGGAGGCUCCCAAACCAGCCAUCCAGCACCGGUGCUAGACCGAAAGCAUCAACUCCAGCAAGGACUUGGUCUGACGUUGUCCGCCGCGAAGGCAAAUCCAGUAAGAAAUCAAAUAAGAG